UACGUAGGGUGCAGGCGUUAAUCGGAAUUACUGGGCGUAAAGCGUGCGCAGGCGGUUUCUUAAGUCAGAUGUGAAAGCCCCGGGCUUAACCUGGGACUGCGUUUGAAACUGGGAGACUUGAGUGUGGCAGAGGGGGUGGAAUUCCGACGUGUAGCAGUGAAAUGCGUAGAUAUGUGGAGGAACACCAAUGGCGAAGGCAGCCCCCUGGGUCAACACUGACGCUCAUGCACGAAAGCGUGGGGAGCAAACAGG
rnacentral:rRNA from 1 species